AUUUAAUUGAUGGAUAGUAUGAAUGGUUAAACGAAUAUUACACUGUCUCAAGUAAAAAUUUUAUGAAAUUAAGAUAAUAGUUAAGACGCUAUUUCAAACUGUAAGACGAAAAGACCCUAUAGAGCUUAACUAUAAACUUUUUUGAUAAAGAUCAUCNUAAAAUGAUCAUAAAAGAAAGUUAGGUAGUUUAGUUGGGGCGACUGUCUUCUAAAAAGAACGAAGACUAGCAAAGUUAAUAAAAAUAACUUAUUGUUUAAUAAAUUUAUUUAACAAUUACAAAAGUAGGCUAUAAUGACCCAUUGAAUUUAAGAAAGUAAAUCAAUGAUUAAAAAAUAAAAGCUACCUUAGGGAUAACAGGAUAAUUUUGUUUUAGAGAUCAUAUCGAAGACAAAGUUUGUCACCUCUAUGUUGAAUUGAGAUAUCCUGAUAAUGCAGAAGUUUCAAAGGUAGGCUGUCGACCUUAAAUC
rnacentral:rRNA from 1 species